rnacentral:misc_RNA from 1 species
GAUGAAGAACGUAGCGAAAUGCGAUACGUAGUGUGAAUUGCAGAAUUCAGUGAAUCAUCGAAUCUUUGAACGCACAUUGCACCUCUCGGCAUUCCGGGAGGUAUGCCUGUUCGAGCGUCAUUUGUACCCUCAAGCUCUGCUUGGUGUUGGGUGUUUGUUCCGCCUCUGUGUGUGAACUCGCCUCAAAACAAUUGGCAGCCGGCGUACUUGUUUCGGAGCGCAGCACAUUUUGCGAUCCAGAUCAACGUACAGCGGCAUCCAAGAAGCCUUAUUUAACGCUCUUGACCUCGGAUCAGGUAGGGAUACCCGCUGAACUUAAGCAUAUCAAUAAGCGGAGGA